rnacentral:rRNA from 1 species
CGCGUAGGCGGCUUGUUAAGUCUGAAGUGAAAGCCCUCGUUUCAAGCGGGGAACGGCUUUGGAUACUGGCAAGCUUGAGUGCAGGAGAGGGAUGCGGAAUUCCCAGUGUAGCGGUGAAAUGCGUAGAUAUUGGGAAGAACACCAGAGGCGAAGGCGGCAUCCUGGACUGUUACUGACGCUGAAGCGCGAAAGCCAGGGGAGCAAACG